CGUAGGUGGCAAGCGUUGUCCGGAUUUAUUGGGUUUAAAGGGUGCGUAGGCGGCUUUGUAAGUCAGUGGUGAAAUAUGGCAGCUCAACUGUCAGGGUGCCAUUGAUACUGCGGAGCUUGAGUACAGAUGAGGUAGGCGGAAUUGACGGUGUAGCGGUGAAAUGCUUAGAUAUCGUCAAGAACACCGAUAGCGAAGGCAGCUUACUGGGCUGUAACUGACGCUGAGGCACGAAAGUGUGGGGAUCAAACAGGAUUAGAUACCCUGGUAGUCCACACUGCAAACGUUGAUGACUCGCUGUUGGCGAUACACGGCCAGCGGCAGAGAGAAAUCGUUAAGUCAUCCACCUGGGGAGUACGCCGGCAACGGUG
rnacentral:rRNA from 1 species